AGCAGCAUGGCGCAGUUGGAAGCGCGCGGGGCCCAUAUCCGCCACGCUUCGAAGAUAUGCAACCCCGAGGUCACUCGAUCGAAACGAGUUGCUGCUA